CACAAGGAGAGAUGUGAUUAAAGAAAACAGCCCUGAUUUUUUUGAAAUCUUCAUAAAAAACUUGAUGAAUGCUUAUAUUAGUUUAGCCUAAAAGGUGUUAGAAACUUUUUUCUUUAAUAUUUUUAUUAUUUUUUGGUGGUAAAAUUAGAGAAAAAUAAAAUUAAUGACAAUUUAAACUUACUACUGACCACUUCAAUAUUGUCGUACGCGAUAUGUAUGGUAAAAAAAAAAAAAAAAAUUAUGAGCAUAUUUCCCUUCUGCCAUUUUCUCAUCCAAAAAGAAGUCUUAUGUUUUACAAUAUGCUAAUGUACUGAAUGACCCUUCUUUUUUCGGAGAAGAAGCAAUGAAGGUAUCUGGGGAAUAAGCAUCAACUAACUCUCUGCUAGCAGCCACGGUAAUACAGAGGAUGCAAGCAUUAUCUGGAAUAAUUGAGCAUAAAGCAUCUUUUUGCAGUCAAAUUGAAUGCAAAUGGAAUGGUGGUUGGAAGUCUUCGUGGUUAGUUUUGAUCAGUUUAUGAAUCUGGUGGUAGACAAUACUAUGGAAGUUAGUGGCAAUGAGAAAAAUGGUGGUUAUAAGAGGAAAUAGUGUGGAAGCACUUGAACCAGUUAGCAGAACACAGUGAUUGUGAAUAUGUAUUGGCAUGGAUUAGUUGUAUGAAAAAGGGGAAUAUGUUUUUCGUGGAGUGACUAGUCUUGAUUGGAUGUUUUGUAUUUGAAGUCAUUUCUAUGUCUGAAUAUAUGGAUAAUGCUAUCUAUCUAAUGAGAUGUACUGGUAUCAACUACACGAGCUCAAGUUUUGCUUAUGAGCCCUCUAACGAAGAAAUCCGUGUUAUUGUAUUUUAUUAAACGUUCUUUCGCAUUCAAUGGCAAAUGAA